rnacentral:rRNA from 1 species
UACGGGGGGGGGGUAAGCGUUGUUCGGAAUUACUGGGCGUAAAGGGCUCGUAGGCGGCCAACUAAGUCAUACGUGAAAAUCCCUCAGCUUAACUGGGGGGACUGCGUGUGAUACUGGAUGGCUUGGAUUUGGGAGAGGGAUGCGGAAUUCCAGGUGUAGCGGUGAAAUGCGUAGAUAUCUGGAGGAAUACCGGUGGCGAAGGCGGCAUCCUGGACCGACAUUGACGCUGAUGAGCGAAAGCGUGGGGAGCGAACAGG